rnacentral:siRNA from 1 species
UGAUUGGUGAUCUUGUGAUUGGU